rnacentral:rRNA from 1 species
ACGGGUGAGUAAUACAUAAGCAACCUACCCACGAAGACUGGGAUAAUCUCUGGAAACGGGGACUAAUACCGGAUAGGUAAUCGGAAGGCAUCUUCUGAUUAUUAAAGGUUAAAAACACUGGUGGAUGGGCUUAUGGCGCAUUAGUUAGUUGGUGAGGUAACGGCCCACCAAGACGAUGAUGCGUAGCCGGCCUGAGAGGGUGAACGGCCACAUUGGGACUGAGACACGGCCCAGACUCCUACGGGAGGCAGCAGUAGGGAAUUUUCGGCAAUGGGGGAAACCCUGACCGAGCAACGCCGCGUGAGUGAUGACGGCCUUCGGGUUGUAAAGCUCUGUUGUAAGGGAAGAACGGUAGAUAGAGAAUAUCUAAGUGACGGUACCUUACCAGAAAGCCACGGCUAACUACGUGCCAGCAGCCGCGGUAAUACGUAGGUGGCGAGCGUUAUCCGGAAUUAUUGGGCGUAAAGGGUGCGUAGGCGGCCUGUUAAGUAAGUGGUUAAAUUGUUGGGCUCAACCCAAUCCAGCCACUUAAACUGGCAGGCUAGAGUAUUGGAGAGGCAAGUGGAAUUCCAUGUGUAGCGGUAAAAUGCGUAGAUAUAUGGAGGAACACCAGUGGCGAAGGCGGCUUGCUAGCCAAAGACUGACGCUCAUGCACGAAAGCGUGGGGAGCAAAUAGGAUUAGAUACCCUAGUAGUCCACGCCGUAAAC